CUUGUGGUCUGGAAUAUUUCCUCAAGUUCCUGAACCAAGAAACAUGCUCAUUGGAUCUGAAAGCUAUAAAAAGCCAAAAGAGAACUGGAUUUUCAGUGAAGAUAACACAUGUGUCAGCUCCGAAGAAAUAAUUGUGAUUGUUGAAGACAACAUGAAAUGAGUACGCACUAAUUUCACAGUGAAGAUUAAUAAUACUUAUGCCUGGAAACAACAGACCUAGGUGAAGAAGGACUGGGGAUUGAACAUGGCUCCAUCAAACCUUAGGAAAACUGUCAUCUAUGCUUUCUGGAUAAUGGAGUACAGUUGGGUAUCAACACACAACUGGAGUCCUGUUGUGUUUAAGGGAAAUAAAUGCUUUGGUAUAUGAAAAUAUUUCACACUGCUUUAUUCUGUAUAUGUAGCUUACACAUUUAGCAGGACAAUGAAUUCAGCAUAAUAGGGCUCAUGCUGCUGUUAAAAGCAUUUUACUGUAAUUAGAUUACUGUCUCAUUAUCAGCACUGCAUGCUAUUUAAUUACAACCAUGACAUUUUCAGUGUCCCUGAAAGUAUAGUUAUGUUUUCUCUUGAUUUUCUUUGUGAAUAAACUCUGUAUAAUUUUGUUUA